CAAAGGUGCCAGUGGGUAAAAAGGCAGAGUAUUUUGUGGGGAGCGCUUCUCAGCAGACAUGCUAUGAGACCACUACAAAAGCUAAAACCAUUUCUCAUGGGAGCUGUGGUUUAGUGGAGUGCAAAUUUUGGCACAGUUCUCUCCUCUGGCUCACCUCGCCUUCUGCAGGAGGUAGGAUCUGGCUGCAGUACAGGAACAACCAGACUUCUUCUCUUGCCUCCACAUCACUGUGCAAGAUAUCUCCCUGCAGUUAUGGAAGUCCGUGGAAAACCACACCACAUGAAUUCAGCGUUACAGGCUGAGCCUUGGACAUGAGCUGGUGUCAUGUACCUGCUGCAAAGCCUCAGUAUGGCAGAAAGGGCUGCUAAUUACACUGCCUGGAGUAGAAAGUUUGGGUAAUCAAGGAAGGGGAAAUGAUUUACAUCCAAGGGGAUGUGAGAGUCCUGCCUGUGGAGCUGAGACCUUGAGAAAAACCUGUGGCAGAUGUGA